rnacentral:lncRNA from 1 species
GUGUCUGUGGCCAGUGUAAGCCAUGGCUGGGGAGCAGCCCCCCGGGCACUGCCGUCACGGCCGCCGAGAAGCGGAGUCGGUGGUUGGCUUGGCAGGCAGAGGUUGGGGGAGGACGACGGGGUCUCCCAGCGGUGGGAAGACGGGGGCUUGGGCUCUUCAGGUUUCCUGGGUACUGUGCUGAGGCAGGGGCUAGGCCUGGAGGGGGCAGUGGCCCUCUAUUCCAGGAGGCCGCCUGGGAAGGGAUCCACCAAGAUGGCAGACAGUGGUCAGCCCAGCAGAGGGUGGGCUUGGGAAGAGUGGACGGGACUUGUGAGGGGAGAUGAGCCCUGGUAUAGCUAGAUACCUUUUCUCACAUGCCAGCUCUUUUCCAUUCUUUCAUUUUCAAAUUAGAGGCAGCAAAAGGACCCUUUUCCAUUGACCGAGGGAGAGAGAAAGCUGCCGGGUGGGCCAUGGCCUUCAGCUUUGAAACCCACGCCCUCCUGGGAAGCCUACUUUCUUGGGACGGAAGGAUGGGAGCUGUUGGCCGAGGCAGCCUGCUGUCCUUGGGGCUGAGGGCACCAGGAGUGGCCUGGAGCACAGGUAGAAGCCUGCAGGCGGCCUGGCCCGUGCUUUCGUGGGCAGCGUGGUGGGGAGGGAACUUGUGGCUCUCGGUUCUCGGUGUGGGAGGCUGUGAACGCGGCAAGUGCUGGGCGUCAGAGCAGAGUUCUGAGCAGGACCACACGUGUGUGUAUACGUACACGUGAGUGCGAGUGUGCGCUGUGACACGCACUCUAGUGUGGACUCGAGCACACACGUGCAGAGCCCGGAUCCGCGUGGAGGGACUGGCUCGUCCAGUAUUUCUAGGCCUGGGUACGUUCUUACCCCAGGGCCACAUGUAGAGUUGAAGGGGUACGGGCAGCAGACCUCGAACGCAAGGCAGCCCCACCCCCCUUGGCUUUGCUAAAACUGCUCUGCGGACAGACGGGGCAGAGGUGUCCCUGCAGGGGCUGUGCUUUGCCCUGCAGAGGCCCGGAGGUCCAUGCAGCCAAGGGCUAGACCUGCUGGGCGGACUCCUCAGAAGCAGCCAGUCCUGAAGACAGUAUUUACAGGGAGGGGUUCUGGGGGCUGGUGCCCCUUUGCCUACUGGGGCUCGUCCAUGCAGAGCAUCCAACAAAGUUGGAAACCGGAGUGGAGGGCCGGUGGGAUGGGUGAAAAACAGGCCAAAUUCAGGUCCCAAGGCAGAGGCCAAGCCCAGUGCAUUUUCCUGUCCACAGCUUCAGUUUACCUGUUCAGAAAAUGGUCCAGGAAGAGCUGGGCAGGGUUGGCUCCAAAACUGGGGGUGGGGAGGUGUAACAGCAAACAAAACCCCAAGCCCUCCACUUGCUCUUUGCCAAAAUCAUUUCCGUUAUCCUGAGAUGGGGGUGAGUGGAUGUUGGCUGCACAGCAGGGCUCAGGGGGGCCUCUGCCCUGCCCAGGGUUUCGCCUUGGGGGUCUGGCCCUCCCCUGGCAUGCCCCGGGUCACCAGCAGUAGCAGCGGCACUUGCGUCUGUCCCAAGGUCUGGGCGAGGGAAGAACAGGGGCAGCCCUGUACCCCAGGCCCUCACACUUUCUUUCUUUCUUGAAAAAACACAAAACCCUUGAGAUUCAUGUACUGUAUGACAGAGAGAAAAAAAGUACCUAAUGUUCCCCCCAAAAAAGACAGUAUAUUUUGUACUUUGUAAAGUGUUCAUUAAAAUGG